rnacentral:rRNA from 1 species
CGGCCGCGUCGACAGAGCGUCGUGUGGCCAGUGAAGCGGCGGUGUAAACCAGCCGUGGAGGCCACACGAGUGAGAAUGCAGGCAUGAGUAGCGAAAGACGGGUGAGAAACCCGUCCUCCGAAAGACCAAGGGUUCCAGGGCCAGGUUAAUCCGCCCUGGGUAAGUCGGGACCUAAGGCGAGGCCGACAGGCGUAGUCGAUGGACAACGGGUUGAUAUUCCCGUACCGGCGAAGAACCGCCCAAGCUAAUCCAGUGGUGCUAAGAGUCCUAACCCGGCUGAGUGGAUCCCUUCGGGGUGAUGCCGGCCGGUCUAACGCUCGACCCCAUGCUGGUGCGGUUAACGUAUUAACAGGUGUGACGCAGGAAGGUAGCUGAGCCAGGCGAUGGUAUCCGUAAGGUGAACCUGGUGUAAGGAUGUAGGGCUGACGAUAGGCAAAUCCGUCGUCAAUGCGCCUGAGAUCCGAUGCGUACCCCGAUUGGGGGAAAUCAGUGAUCCUAUGCUGCGUCGACGCGGCCG